UCUGUGUGAUGCUUUUGCCGGGGACAGAACAGGAAUAGAGUCUUAGAAUUUAUGUGCUGAAGAAGAAAGUCCAAGUGAUCAUCUCUGAAAUAAUCCCCCUAGCAAAGGAAGACAGAAGGCAAAAGAUUCUGGAAGUGAACCACUGGCUAGUCUCUCUGCCAUUUUAGCCACUGAUUUUUAUAUGGAAUGCCAGUAGCGUCCUCUCCCUGCCUGCACUUUCUGCUCUUGGAUAGUGGGCACUUGCACAUCUGCAGGGGAAAUGCAUGUAAUCAGAAGCAAGGGGGGGUAGGAAGAGCCACCUCCAGCAGGCAAGGAUAAUGAGAGUCUGAGAAGAGCUAAUGGGAGAGCUUAUAGAU